CCUACGGGGGGCAGUAGUGGGGAAUAUUGGGCAAUGGGCGCAAGCCUGACCCAGCAACGCCGCGUGAAGGAAGAAGGCUUUCGGGUUGUAAACUUCUUCUAAGAGGGAAGAGCAGAAGACGGUACCUCUUGAAUAAGCCACGGCUAACUACGUGCCAGCAGCCGGGGUAAUACGUAGGUGGCAAGCGUUGUCCGGAUUUACUGGGGGUAAAGGGCGUGCAGCCGGGAAGACAAGUCAGAUGUGAAAUCCCGCGGCUCAACCGCGGAACUGCAUUUGAAACUGUUUUUCUUGAGUACCGGAGAAGUCAGCGGAAUUCCUGGUGUAGCGGUGAAAUGCGUAGAUAUAAGGAAGAACACCAGUGGCGAAGGCGGAUGACUGGACGGCAACUGACGGUGAGGCGCGAAAGCUUGGGGAGCAAACAGGAUUAGAUACCCUUGUAGUC
rnacentral:rRNA from 1 species